AAAAUACUACCUCCGUCCCAGAAUUCUUGUCUUAGAUUCGUCUAGAUAUGGAUGUAUCUAAUACUAAAAUGUGACGACAUUCGUAUUUAGACAAAUCUAAGACAAGAAUUUUGGGACAGUCGGAGUAUAUG
rfam:Triticum aestivum genome assembly, contig: Triticum_aestivum_CS42_TGACv1_scaffold_603685_7DL